rnacentral:rRNA from 1 species
UGGGGAAUAUUGCACAAUGGGGGAAACCCUGAUGCAGCGACGCCGCGUGAGCGAAGAAGGCUUUCGAGUCGUAAAGCUCUGUCCUAUGAGAAGAUAAUGACGGUAUCAUAGGAGGAAGCCCUGGCUAAAUACGUGCCAGCAGCCGCGGUAAUACGUAUGGGGCGAGCGUUGUCCGGAAUUAUUGGGCGUAAAGGGUACGUAGGUGGUUUUUUAAGUCAGGUGUCAAAGCGUGGAGCUUAACUCCAUUAAGCACUUGAAACUGAAAGACUUGAGUGAAGGAGAGGAAAGUGGAAUUCCUAGUGUAGCGGUGAAAUGCGCAGAUAUUAGGAGGAAUACCGGUGGCGAAGGCGACUUUCUGGCCAUAUACUGACGCUGAGGUACGAAAGCGUGGGUAGCAAACAGG